GCAGGUGGUUGCACUGGAAGAACAAUCGCUGCCAACUGGAGAUGUUUUGAGACUCUUGUAUUUGUUGGCUUGGGUUGGACGAGUGGCGGACGCUGAAUGUGCGGUACAGCGUGCUGCACGUGGGGGUUGACGAUCUAUGGAAGUGUAUUGUGAUGAUUAUAGCCCCUUUAUGAUGUAUGUGUAUGAUCAGCUAACCAUUUCAAAGAGUUUGUUUCAGUCCAGCUCAGUUGAUCACUGUUUUUCCCACCUUCAUUUCUUUUUGUAUUUUGUUUUGCGAAUAUUCUAUUUUUGAGUGUUGCCCAGGACUUGUCUUUUGUAUUUUGAUUUUGAUUUUCUUUUGUGUACUAGCGAGGCCUUGACGUAUAGCCUUGUUCAGUGUGAUUACAGAAGAGGAGUAUUCUCACUUCCAUAUGCACAAGUGUGGGGUGUUAAGAGUGUCUAUGAGUCGGUGUGCUGUGUAAGAAGAUUGUAAUUUCUUUUGGGUUUAUUGUAUUUUCCUUUUUUUUUUUUUAUGCAUUGUAUUGGUUGGUAUGGUUUGGAAAUAUUGUACUACCCCCCUGACUUCCUGUAUUUCCAGCUCAUAUGAGCAGUGUUUGGCCAGCUUGUGAGCACAGUUA